rnacentral:misc_RNA from 1 species
UGGAUGAGCAAUUGCAC